rnacentral:rRNA from 1 species
AUACGAAAGGUGCAAGCGUUGUUCGGAUUUACUGGGCGUAAAGAGAGUGUAGGUUGUUUAUUAAGUCGGAUGUGAAAUCCCGGGGCUCAACCUCGGAACUGCAUUCGAUACUGGUAGACUAGAGUUCGGGAGGGGUAAGCGGAAUUCCGUGUGUAGCAGUGAAAUGCGUAGAUAUACGGAGGAACACCUGAGGAGAAGGCGGCUUACUGGACCGAUACUGACACUGAGACUCGAAAGCGUGGGUAGCAAACAGGAUUAGAAACCCUAGUAGUCC